rnacentral:rRNA from 1 species
AGGAUCAACGCUGGCGGCGUGCCUAAUGCAUGCAAGUCGGACGGGGUGACUUUCGGGUCACUCACGUGGCGGACGGGUGCGUAACACGUGGGCAAGCUGCCCUGGGGCGGGGGAUAGCCGAGGGAAACCUUGGGCAAUUCCGCGUACGUUCACUGGCCGGCGGGGCGGUGAAGAAAGGAGCCUUCGGGUUCCACCCUGGGAGCGCCUGCGGCCGAUUAGCUAGUUGGGGGGGUAACGCUUCCCAAGGCGAUGAUCGGUAGCUGGUCUGAGAGGACGGCCAGCCACACGGGGACUGAGACACGGCCCCGACUCCUACGGGAGGCAGCAGCAAGGAUCUCGCAAUGGCGCAAGCCUGACGGAGCAACGCCGCGUGGGGGAUGACGCGCUUCGGCGUCGUAAACCCUUUCGUGUCGGAAGAAGGCGCCUCGUGCGUCUGACGGUACGGCGAGGAAGAAGGACCGACUAACGUACGUGACCAGCAGCCGC